rnacentral:rRNA from 1 species
GACGAACGCUGGCGGCGUGCUUAACACAUGCAAGUCGAACGGUAAGGCCCUUCGGGGUACACGAGUGGCGAACGGGUGAGUAACACGUGGGUGAUCUGCCCUGCACUUCGGGAUAAGCCUGGGAAACUGGGUCUAAUACCGGAUAGGACCACUGCCUGCAUGGGUGGUGGUGGAAAGCUUUUGCGGUGUGGGAUGGGCCCGCGGCCUAUCAGCUUGUUGGGGGGGUGAUGGCCUACCAAGGCGACGACGGGUAGCCGGCCGGAGAGGGUGACCGGCCAAACUGGGACUGAGAUACGGCCCAGACUCCUACGGGAGGCAGCAGUGGGGAAUAUUGCACAAUGGGCGCAAGCCUGAUGCAGCGACGCCGCGUGAGGGAUGACGGCCUUCGGGUUGUAAACCUCUUUCAGCACCGACGAAGCGCAAGUGACGGUAGGUGCAGAAGAAGGACCGGCCAACUACGUGCCAGCCGCCGCGGUAAGAC